UUAUUGGCACUUUUACUUAAGUAAAGGAUCUAAAUACUUUUUCCACCGCUGCACAUCCAUAACCUGGAUUAGUCUAUAAGGAGGAUGGGAUGUGUGAGCGUUCAUAUUUCAUACUGAGAGCGUACAUUCUGUUGAUAUAUGAAGCAGGAAAGAAUGCAGCAGAUACAUUCAGAUGGUGAUAAAUUGGUCCUGAGGAGCAGUUGGAGCUCGUGCCCAGGGGAUGACCCUCUCUGGCUGCAGGCAGUGAGCCCACAGAGGUCUGGGCCUGUGACCUGCUGGUCCAUCAAUACUCAGCCGCCAUGAGCUCACUCGCCUCCUCCUGAAACUCUCUCACCGCGCCGUCUAGAUCUGUGGGACUCAGGCGAACCGAAAAGAAAGUUGGAUAAUUUAUUGCCUUUAAUUAAAUGCUUGCUUCAGGAGGGAUUGGAUGUGUUUCCCCGUGUGCAGGGGCAAAAGGGGAAGGUGUUCAGUGUCGGACAGAGGAUCCAGAAACUCGGCGAGGGCAGGAUCAUGGUUACCUAAAGAGAG